rnacentral:lncRNA from 1 species
GUGUUAUGUAGUUGUGUUGUCAUGUUGUGAAUGUUGUAUUGUAGUAAUCCUCAACUGUAUUUAAUGGUGUUAUGUGGUUGUGUUGUCAUGUUGUGAAUGUUGUAUUGUAGUAACCAACUGUAUUUAAUGGUGUUAUGUAGUUGUGUUGUCAUGUUGUGAAUGUUGUAUUGUAGUAACCAACUGUAUUUAAUGGUGUUAUGUAGUUGUGUUGUCAUGUUGUGAAUGUUGUAUUGUAGUAACCCUCAACUGUAUUUAAUGGUGUUAUGUAGUUGUGUUGUCAUGUUGUGAAUGUUGUAUUGUAGUAACCCUCAACUGUAUUUAAUGGUGUUAUGUAGUUGUGUUGUCAUGUUGUGAAUGUUGUAUUGUAGUAACCCUCAACUGUAUUUAAUGGUGUUAUGUAGUUGUGUUGUCAUGUUGUGAAUGUUGUAUUGUAGUAACCAACUGUAUUUAAUGGUGUUGUGUAGUUGUGUUGUCAUGUUGUGAAUGUUGUAUUGUAGUAACCAACUGUAUUUAAUGGUGUUAUGUAGUUGUGUUGUCAUGUUGUGAAUGUUGUAUUGUAGUAACCAGGUGUAUUUAAUGGUGUUAUGUAGUUGUGUUGUCAUGUUGUGAAUGUUGUAUUGUAGUAACCAACUGUAUUUAAUGGUGUUAUGUAGUUGUGUUGUCAUGUUGUGAAUGUUGUAUUGUAGUAACCCUCAACUGUAUUUAAUGGUGUUAUGUAGUUGUG